rnacentral:rRNA from 1 species
AUUGAACGCUGGCGGCAGGCUUAACACAUGCAAGUCGAGCGAGCGGCGGACGGGUGAGUAAUGUCUGGGCAACUGCCUGAUGGAGGGGGAUAACUACUGGAACAGGUAGCAAAUAGCGCAUACUAUCAGAUGUGCCCAGGUGGGAUUAGCUAAGAGGUGGGGUAAUGGCUCACCAAGGCGACGAUUCCUAGCUGGGCUGAGAGGAUGACCAGCCACACGGGAACUGAGACACGGCCCAGACUCCUACGGGAGGCAGCAGUGGGGAAUAUUGGACAAUGGGCGCAAGCCUGAUGCAGCCAUGCCGCGUGUGUGAAGAAGGCCUUCGGGUUGUAAAGCACUUUCAGCGAGGAGGCGUUACUCGCAGAAGAAGCACCGGCUAACUCCGUGCCAGCAGCCGCGGUAAUAC